rnacentral:piRNA from 1 species
UUCCACCAUUUAAACAGGACAUGGAGUG